rnacentral:misc_RNA from 1 species
CUUCUCUGUAACCCUAUUUUGUCAUGCUUAAGCUCCAUAGCUUGUGCAGUCUUCCUAGUCUUGAUGUCUCCAUUAUAAUACCCAUCCACCCACUCCAGUACCNNUGUAGUUGACAGUGACCAGAAAAUUGCAUAGCUCCACUGGAUACUCCUCACAGCAACUGCAAGCUGUUUCCUUAAGUUCUCUGUCACAACAUCCUGGCUC